UACGGGGGGGGCAAGCGUUGUUCGGAAUUACUGGGCGUAAAGGGCUCGUAGGCGGCCAACUAAGUCAGACGUGAAAUCCCUCGGCUUAACCGGGGAACUGCGUCUGAUACUGGAUGGCUUGAGGUUGGGAGAGGGAUGCGGAAUUCCAGGUGUAGCGGUGAAAUGCGCAGAUAUCAGGAGGAACACCGAUGGCGAAGGCAGGUCUCUGGGCCACUACUGACGCUGAGAAGCGAAAGCAUGGGGAGCGAACAGG
rnacentral:rRNA from 1 species